GUGCAAGCACUCUAAACAUCCCCUUCAGUCCUGCACAGAUGCUAAAACUGGAACGAUACAGGGGAGAUCAGCGUGGUCCCUGUGCAAGGAUGGCACGCAAAUCUGGGGACUGUUUCAUGGUGUG
ensembl:snRNA U6 U6 spliceosomal RNA